AUAGCGAAUGCACCCAUCCAGCUCAAAUCUAUAAGAAAGUUAUCUCUGGCAGAAAGCCUGAUGCUCUCUACAAAGUGAAGGAUCCAGAAGUAAGACAAUUUGUGGAGAAAUGCUUGGCAACUGUAUCACUUAGGCUCUCAGCUAGAGAGUUGUUGAAUGAUCCAUUUCUCCAAAUUGAUGAUUGUGAAUCUAAUUUUAGACCUUUAGAUUAUGGGCCGGAAAUUGAUGGCAUGGGUCCUCUCAUAAGGCAACCUUACCUUGAAUUUCGUGACAAUACUUAUCCCUGCAGUGAUGGAUACUCAAAUGGCUAUAGCUAUGAUGCUCAGAAUGAAUUGGAAUAUCAUCCAGUUGAGUUCGAACAAAGUGGAAUUGAACUUUU
rnacentral:misc_RNA from 1 species